rnacentral:rRNA from 1 species
ACUCCUACGGGAGGCAGCAGGCGCGAAAACUUUACAAUGCCGGCAACGGCGAUAAGGGGACCUCGAGUGCCAGGUUACAAAUCUGGCUGUCGUGAUGCCUAAAAAGCAUUGCAUAGCAAGGGCCGGGCAAGACCGGUGCCAGCCGCCGCGGUAACACCGGCGGCUCGAGUGGUAACCGUUAUUAUUGGGUCUAAAGGGUCUGUAGCCGGCCGGAUAAGUCUCUUGAGAAAUCCAGCAGCUCAACUGUUGGGCUUUCAGGAGAUACUGUUCGGCUCGAGGCCGGGAGAGGUGAGAGGUACUUCAGGGGUAGGGGUGAAAUCUUGUAAUCCUUGAAGGACCACCAGUGGCGAAGGCGUCUCACCAGAACGGACCUGACGGCAAGGGACGAAAGCUAGGGGCACGAACCGGAUUAGAUACCCGGGUAGUCCUAGCCGUAAACGAUACUCGCUAGGUGCCGGCCACGGUGCGACCGUUGUCGGUGCCGUAGGGAAGCCGUGAAGCGAGCCACCUGGGAAGUACGGCCGCAAGGCUGAAACUUAAAGGAAUUGACGG